ACUGUUCUUCUAGAGGUCCUGAGUUC
rnacentral:piRNA from 2 species